rnacentral:rRNA from 1 species
UGAAUACGAGACGCUAAGGCGUCGAAGUAGUGUAUGUCAUACUUCCAAGAAAAGCUUGCACUGUCAUAAGUAAAAAAUGCCUGUACCAUAACCGACACAGGUGGGUAGGUAGAGUAUACUAAGGGGCGCGAGAUAACUCUCUCUAAGGAACUCGGCAAAAUAACUCCGUAACUUCGGGAGAAGGAGUACCUUAUUCUAUAAGGUUGCAAUAACAAGAUCCAAGCAACUGUUUAUCAAAAACACAGGUCUCCGCUAAGUCGUAAGACGAUGUAUGGGGGCUGACGCCUGCCCAGUGCCAGAAGGUUAAAGAAGUCGGUUAGCAUUAGCGAAGCUGGUAACUGAAGCCCUGGUGAACGGCGGCCGUAACAAUAACGGUCCUAAGGUAGCGAAAUUCCUUGUCGGGUAAGUUCCGACCCGCACGAAAGGCGUAAUGAUUUGGAUACUGUCUCGGAGAGGGGCUCGGUGAAAUAGACUUGUCUGUGAAGAUGCGGACUACCUGCACCAGGACAGAAAGACCCUAUGAAGCUUUACUGUAACUUGAAAUUGAAAUUGGACUUUAUUCGCGCAGUAUAGGUGGGAGGUGUUGAUUAUAAUCUUGCGGGAUUAUUGGAGCCAUCAGUGAGAUACCACUCUUGUAAUGUUAGAUUUCUAACUUUGAAUCAUUAUCUGGUCAAAGGACAGUUUCAGGCGGGCAGUUUGACUGGGGCGGUCGCCUCCCAAACGGUAACGGAGGCGUACAAAGGUUUCCUCUGAACGGGUAGAAAUCGUAUCUAGAGUGUAAAGGCAUAAGGAAGCUUGACUGUGAGACCUACAAGUCGAACAGGGACGAAAGUCGGUCUUAGUGAUCUGACGGUACUGAGUGGAAAGGCCGUCACUCAACGGAUAAAAGUUACUCUAGGAUAACAGGCUGAUCUCCCCCAAGAGUUCACAUCGACGGGGAGGUUUGGCACCUCGAUGUCGGCUCAUCGCAUCCUGGGGCGGUAGUACGUCCCAAGGGUUGGGCUGUUCGCCCAUGAAAGCGGUACGCGAGCUGGGUUCAGAACGUCGUGAGACAGUUCGGUCCAUAUCCGGUGUAGGCGUUAGAAUAUUGAGAGGAGCCUUCUUUAGUACGAGAGGACCGAGAAGGACAUACCUCUGGUGUACCAGUUAUCGUGCCAACGGUAAACGCUGGGUAGCUAUGUAUGGAGUGGAUAACCGCUGAAAGCAUCUAAGUGGGAAGCCCACCUCAAGAUAAGUAUUCUCAC